ensembl:lncRNA
CCACAUAACACUUUAAAGUGCAAAAAAUAAAUAUUUUUCAGCGAAUAGUUGUGUAGGAUGGAAACAAUGGCUAUAUGUCUUCAUCUAAGUAAAAACACAUACCCGAUCUUAUAAGAGGGGAUGAUUUCAUGUGAAUUUGUAUGAUGUACAAUGUACGUAAACUAAACAUGAAGGUCCCUAACCCCACACCCAAAUCUUAACAUCAGUGAGGCGUAGACACAUUGACAAAGUCAACAGUGUAUGAGUAAGCCACCAAUUUGCUAAAAUGUAAAAUAGUUUCAGACUGCCAUAAAAAUGUGUUGACUAUUCAGAUUAUGGCCAGUAAUCAAAAUAAGGAACUACUUUGAUUGAGAUCUUUACAUGCAAAUAUCUUUUGUGCUCCAUAGAAGAAAGCCAUAUUGGUUUGGAAUGACAUGAGGCUUUCCCUUUUCCUGUCGAGGAUGGUGCUCGGAAGUUGUUGUUAUUGAAGAUCUUUCCUCCAUUGCGUUUUCUACAGGAUGAGGCUUUAAGGGGGGCUUCCCUUUCUGGGUCACUGAAACUGAGACGAAGACUGGUGCAAAAGAAUCUUCAAGAAAUAAUCUGCCUAGAAAUAAAAAGUCUGACAUAAUUUACUCACCUUUAUGUCACUUCAAACCC